rnacentral:rRNA from 1 species
GAUGAACGCUAGCGAUAGGCUUAACACAUGCAAGUCGAGGGGCAGCAUGGUCUUAGCUUGCUAAGACUGAUGGCGACCGGCGCACGGGUGCGUAACGCGUAUGCAACUUGCCUCACAGAGGGGGAUAACCCGUCGAAAGACGGACUAAUACCGCGUACACUUGGGAUGGGGCAUCCUGACCCAAGGAAAUGAAAUUCGCUGUGAGAUAGGCAUGCGUCCCAUUAGCUAGUUGGUGAGGUAACGGCUCACCAAGGCGACGAUGGGUAGGGGAACUGAGAGGUUGAACCCCCACACUGGUACUGAGACACGGACCAGACUCCUACGGGAGGCAGCAGUGAGGAAUAUUGGUCAAUGGGCGAGAGCCUGAACCAGCCAAGUCGCGUGAAGGAUGACUGUCUUAUGGAUUGUAAACUUCUUUUAUACGGGAAUAACAAGAGCCACGUGUGGCUCUCUGCAUGUACCGUAUGAAUAAGCAUCGGCUAACUCCGUG